rnacentral:rRNA from 1 species
UACAGAGGGGGCAAGCGUUGUUCGGAAUUACUGGGCGUAAAGCGUGCGCAGGCGGUUGUGCAAGACCGAUGUGAAAUCCCCCGGGCUUAACCUGGGAAUGGGCAUUGGUGACUGCACGGCUAGAGUGUGUCAGAGGGGGGGUAGAAUUCCACGUGUAGCAGUGAAAUGCGUAGAGAUGUGGAGGAAUACCGAUGGCGAAGGC